UGGCUAUGUAGGAAUGAAGCGUGUUUCUUCUCCUCCUGUACUCUCCCUCUCUUGACUGCGGAAAUGGAACAUCCUAAACAGUCUUUCUCUUGCCUUGGCUUAGCUGUGCUGUAGGAUGGGACCUGGGCUUCUGUGUUGAGGUCGUCUAAACUAUUCAUAUCCAGGAUCCGAUAGCUCUCUGCUUAUUAAUGGUCAGUCUUCACUGUUUCCAAUGGAAGAUGGAUUCUUGGAUGAUGGCCGUGGGGAUCAGCCUCUUCAUAGUGGCCUGGGUUCACCUCACUGCUUCAGUCACCAGAAUGGGGAAAGAGUGGAACGAU
rnacentral:lncRNA from 1 species